rnacentral:rRNA from 1 species
AGAACGAACGCUGGCGGCAGGCCUAAUACAUGCAAGUCGAGCGCCCCGCAAGGGGAGCGGCAGACGGGUGAGUAACGCGUGGGAAUCUACCUAGCUCUACGGAAUAGCUCCGGGAAACUGGAAUUAAUACCGUAUACGUCCCUCGGGAGAAAGAUUUAUCGGAGUUAGAUGAGCCCGCGUUGGAUUAGCUAGUUGGUGGGGUAAUGGCCCACCAAGGCGACGAUCCAUAGCUGGUCUGAGAGGAUGAUCAGCCACACUGGGACUGAGACACGGCCCAGACUCCUACGGGAGGCAGCAGUGGGGAAUAUUGGACAAUGGGCGAAAGCCUGAUCCAGCCAUGCCGCGUGAGUGAUGAAGGCCCUAGGGUUGUAAAGCUCUUUCAACGGUGAAGAUAAUGACGGUAACGUAGAAGAAGCCCGGCUAACUUCGUGCCAGCAGCCGC